rnacentral:rRNA from 1 species
AUAUCAGUAAGCGGAGGAAAAGAAACUAACAAGGAUUCCCCUAGUAACGGCGAGUGAAGCGGGAUGAGCUCAAAUUUAAAAUCUGGUGUCCUUUGGGCAUCCGAGUUGUAGUCUAGAGAAGCAUUUUCCGUGUCGGACCAUGUACAAGUCUCCUGGAACGGAGCGUCAUAGAGGGUGAGAAUCCCGUUCUUGACAUGGACCCCCGAUGCUUUGUGAUGUGCUCUCAAAGAGUCGAGUUGUUUGGGAUUGCAGCUCAAAAUGGGAGGUAAAUUCCUUCUAAAGCUAAAUAUUGGCGAGAGACCGAUAGCGCACAAGUA